rnacentral:rRNA from 1 species
UGGGGAAUAUUUGACAAUGGGCGCAAGCCUGAUCCAGCCAUGCCGCGUGUGUGAAGAAGGCCUUUUGGUUGUAAAGCACUUUAAGCGAGGAGGAGGCUACUGAGAUUAAUACUCUUGGAUAGUGGACGUUACUCGCAGAAUAAGCACCGGCUAACUCUGUGCCAGCAGCCGCGGUAAUACAGAGGGUGCGAGCGUUAAUCGGAUUUACUGGGCGUAAAGCGUGCGUAGGCGGCUUCUUAAGUCGGAUGUGAAAUCCCUGAGCUUAACUUAGGAAUUGCAUUCGAUACUGGGAAGCUAGAGUAUGGGAGAGGAUGGUAGAAUUCCAGGUGUAGCGGUGAAAUGCGUAGAGAUCUGGAGGAAUACCGAUGGCGAAGGCAGCCAUCUGGCCUAAUACUGACGCUGAGGUACGAAAGCAUGGGGAGCAAACAGG